UACGAAGGGGGCUAGCGUUGUUCGGAAUUACUGGGCGUAAAGGGCGCGUAGGCGGUCCUGAUCGUCGGAUGUGAAAGGCCUGGGCUCAACCUGGGAAUGGCAUCCGAUACGGCGGGACUGGAGUGUGGGAGAGGUUGGUGGAAUUCCCAGUGUAGAGGUGAAAUUCGUAGAUAUUGGCUGGAACACCGGUGGCGAAAGCGGCUCUCUGGCCCGGUUCUGACGCUGAGGCGCGAAAGCGUGGGGAGCAAACAGG
rnacentral:rRNA from 1 species